CUGCCUCUAAAAUCCUUUAGAGGCAAGAAUGGCACAUCUGUUGUUUUGCACAGUCUUCAACAUCAGGUUGUGGGAUGGAUGAGAAGCAUGUUUCAAGACCCCAUAAUGAACCUUCCCAUAAAACAGCCAUGGGUAUGAGAAGCAGAGGGCUACAUAAGGGAUAUGUCAGGCAGAUGAGAGCUUUUAGCCUGGAGGAGAUGUCAAGUUUAUCUGCCAUCAUGUCUCCUGUGGGCACUGCUGAUACUUGCUUCUCCUUUCAACAUCGUUUGAUCCUCCCAAAGUUUCGCUUUGUUUCUGUCUGGCUGGAAAAAAUGAUGAAACUGAAAUCUGGAGCCUAAGAAAAUGAAGACUAGUGACUUGUUCUUACCCCUACCAGAAAGUUAUUACACUUCACACCCCUGAAGGGAAACUACAUAGCAAGGGAACAGCUGUUAGGUCUUUAUACAGUCACUCUAGCAGCAUGCCAGGUCCCCUUAGAUACUGAAAGACCACUGUCAGGUCUCUCUGGAGCCUUCUCUUCUCCAGGAUAAAAAGCCCCAGCUCUUUCAGCCUGUCAACCUUUGCCACCUGGCCAGAAGGGAAGACACGUCCCCUCUGGGUCCCUUUCCUACAUGGAGCCAUGCAGGCCCGGCAGUGCUGGGGAUCUGGAGGUGCUGCUGAGGAUCAUUCAGGUCUGCAGGCUGUAAAUCUGGUGCUGUCCUACACUGCAUUCUUCAGUUCUUGUUUACUGAAAGAGCAUGGUUACUGUGAGUAUUCCAGCUUUCACUGCAAAAAGUGGGAAUUUCUACCUCUCCUUGUUACAAAGCAAAGCUUGAAAACAUGAUGUUGGCAAACUUAAACUCCUGAAAAUCUGGGAUUGAUGUAAUAUAAGAGAUGGGCUCAUAAUUUUUGUGAUUACACAUCACUUGAAGGGGGGGGGGGGGAGGGGGGCAUUAAUUAUUUCUGACUGUUUGCAGGUGCAAAGUUUCCUCUUUGGGAAUGCUUUGUCAGUGAUGUCCUCAGACUGAUAAUAACAUCAUUUUGCUAUUAGCAUGUGUGAAUAUGAGCAGUCCUAUGGUCUAAUACAUUUCCUCUCCAGAUUUGGACUCUGAUCUUGCAAGCUGUAUGUUAUACCUGUGAAAAGUACUGCAGUGUUGACUAGUGUGCACAGGCAAGAAGCUCAUUUUACUCAUUACAAAAUCUGCUUUCAUAGAAAUCACAGUAUGUCCAAAUGCCACGUUAUUAGCAGAAGAGGAUAUCAUGAUACAGAUUUCCCACCUGCUAACUGUUCUUUACUCCAAAAAGUCAAAGUAUGCACAACUUUCCUCGCCCUCCAUCUUGACGACCCACAGACACCGGCGUAGAAAUGAAAGGACGCCUCGAGCAGAAAAUCUGAAAGGCUGAUGCCUUUCCGUCGGUCCCGUUAGGUGGAGCUCUCAGACAAGGAGAAAUGACAUCCCACCAGGCACCCUGAGGAGUCGUUAGCACUGUAUUAUUCAGGUAUUUAUUUAUUUUUUUCCACGCCGAGAGCUUUCUCAUUUUGAAAAAGCUCAUUUCUGUCCUGCUAGAAACCUUACUGCAUGCUUUUAAAACCAGUGCGAUGCAGCAGCCCUGUCUGUACAACCUGUUUUCGUUAGCUUAACACAUCACUGAGGUGGAGCUGAAAACUUCAGAGAUGCUGUGUCACUGGGACAACAUAAGCAACGCGAAAAUCAGAGGAAUAGUUAUGGAAUUAAGGAAGCAGAGCAAAUAAAAACACUGGGUGCGGCACACAGAAGUCAGACAUUUCCAGCAAGAGCUCAGUUCUGUCCGUGGUAGUCAUCCACUGACAGCAAUGGUGCAGGGUUCAGUGGAAAAAUUAGCCAUGCAAACACAAAGGUGUAGUACAAAUUGAAACAGCGAAUCGUUUGCUACGCGACUUUCUGCCACUUUCAGAUUGUAGUUGCUCUCUUAUCUUGAUUUUGUACCUGACAUAAAUUCCUACAAGGUACGGGGGUAGCCCUCCCUACUCCCACACAAGGAGAACAAAGGUAACCCUACACAGGUAUGAGACAGAAAAGUGAGUCCUACCAAAAAGUCGUGCAUUUUUCAAGGGUAUUGGCUCUCUUGCCAAAUGUUUGCUACGUGCAAUCGCUAAGCAAUGUCAAUAUUUUUGCUACAAAAGUGGGGGUAGUUGGAAAGAUAGGAAAGAGGAAGGAGAAGAUAAAGAACUGACAGAAAUUAGCAGAGAUCAUCCAGAUACAUAUGGAAGGAAAGAUUCAAACCAGUCUCUGCUCGACUCUACACCUUUUCUAAGAGAGACAAUUGAUUUAAUUUAAUCACUUCAACCAUGAUGAAAAUCUGCUAGCUUUAUCCUUUAUUAGGGCAGACAUGACACUCCUGUAAUAGAUUAUUUCAGUAAAGCUUAGCACAUCUCCUGCAUUUAUCCUUGAUACAAAAACAGAGUAAUUUCAUGAUCAGUACAGCACAAUGCUGUGAAGUGUUUCUGAAUAAAUGGUUGGUGUGUUUGAAUAUAGCCUGUCUAGCUCCAGUUUUGCAACAAAAACAAGUGCAGAUGCUUGAACAGCCUGAAAGCCUGCUCCAUUGUCAGACUUCUGAAAACCUGUACUCUUUUUCACACAAAGGAAACACUGUUUAGACUUCAUGCUAAAAUAAAUAAUACGCAGUGGCAGUGAGACCUGAGAACCAGCAGAUUCAUUUCUGUGUUGAAAUCAGUUGGCCAUAUUACUUGACAGACUCUGACUUUAUCCGGAUGCGCUUUCCCGAUGUAAGAAGACUUGCCCUACCAGUAAGGACUGGUGUGCUGUAAGAAGAGUCGCUCCCCAGCACUGGAGCUCUCUCCCUCACAUCCAUGUUCUUUGGCUCUAUGCAUUUCCCCAGAUAGAUAGACUUAAUUCUUGUCUCCAGUAAUUCAUUGAAAACUUGAUGCUAACGUAAGAAAGGUGUCACAGGUGAUCUUUCCUUCUUGACGUGAUAUCAUGAGCCAGGAUUGUUUUGGCUGCACUGGGCAACACAUACCAAUCGCAGUGGCUGUAGUUUCCACCAACCAGUUCAGGUGCAGGCACAAAAAGCCAGAGCUUCAGGAGCAUUUCUAAUUCUUCACUUCCCCUCUCCUGCCUUUGGGAUGGCCUUAAUGUCUGCAGGGUGUACAGACGGUUUUCCCUUCAAGCUCUCCUCUGUGGUCUGUUCAGCUUUCAAAUGACAGUGUGUAUCUGUGGUACUGAUAUGCUCUGUUCUCUGUCAUGACUUCUGCUUACCCUGAGACCCCUGACUGCAACAGAGGGAGUUCCUAUAGUCCCCGUUUCAUGGCUUCAGGCUAAGAGACUUCUUUAGCACUAUCCAGGUAACCUGUGACAGAUCAGGAGACUAAAUCUGAUUCCAGUCCAGAGCUCCAACCAUUGAACGUACUAUGCUGCAUUACACAAAUAGAUGAGUGUGGGUCCUAUUUAAGAAGAAAAAAGGGGAUGAAGGUUAUGGUAGCCUUACCCCAUUUGCCCAGGUUUCAAAGACAAGCAAGAAAAAGGGUCAAGACAGUGGAAGCUUGAAGCAUUUGAUGCCUCAUGGUGAGCCCCUGAUAAGUCCUGCAGGCAGACAAGGCAGCUGGUAAGGCACAUUAAGCAAAGCAUCACAGAAGCGUCACUCUAAUUUUCCCAGUGUAAACAAAAAAGCUCUCUCCAAAUGUGAAAUUUCUGCAUCGAGAACUUCAGUUUUUAAGAGUGUUUUUCUUUGGAUUUUUUUUUUUUUCUGUCAGAAAAUUCUUAGUUAUGCACUACAUGCCCCCCUAAUUCCCACUCCAGCUUCCCACUGUCCAUGCCUCUGAAUGAGCGAGAACAGUCUGUCAUCCAUGAUUCAAUAUUUCAGGAAAGCUGAGAGUGGUUAUAAGACAGAAAAUCAAUCUUAACUAGUGAGAUUUCCAUAAAGUUCAAUUAAAAGUGUCAAGCUAUUGUGACUAGAUUUGUCAAACCAUGGGUGACAAUCUUUGCAAUGCAGCACCGUUCUUGUCUGGAGAGGAAUGCAAGAGGGGAUCCUGGUUCCCAGACUGCUGCAGGCACACCACAUUUCUGGAUACAUCUCUGCCCCUUAAUCCUGCAUCCAGAACUGAGCAGCCUCCUGGAAAGGGAGAGUUUGAGGAGAAAGCCAAUGCAAAUGCUUGUGGCUCAGAAGGAAACUGGUAUGAACUUGAUAAGGAAAAUAAUAGCAUUCACACAACAACAGUCGAGAUCUGUUACUGAUUGUGCUGCACCACUCCUUUUCUUUCAUUCAUAUGAUUCAGAACUGGUGCUUUGAAGAGAAUAUAAAUACAUUCCUCUUGACUUCUUUGUCUGUCCUUUUGGAGAAGUGCUAAGCGCUGGUUCUGUGUAUCCCAGUAUGGUUUCUUUUUUAAUAUCUAUUUCAGAAAACACACCCCUACUGCAGCACAGUGCAGCCUAUAGCAAUGAAGAGGAAUAAUAACAAAAUCCUCAAAGACAGAUCAGGCAUUCUGUGCGCCGUACUUCGGUCAAACUCGAAUCUGAAGUGCUUCUAUAAAUCAUCAAAACCACAUUUUCUCCCUCUCUUGCAAUAGGUUAUGUGACAUUACAAAUUCCUGCUGGUAAUUAUGUAGGAAUACGCUCAGUUGGCUGAAUUCAUUAUACUUCUUAAAGUAGCACUUGUAUUUGCUCUGCAUAACUGCAGUCUCCCAUUCAUUUAGUAACAGUCUCCUCCUAUUAGCCAUCUCAUUUUAACAGUGGGUGUGGACAGCUCCGGAAGGUGGGUGCUUGGUGAUAGCUGCACCAUGUGGUGACAGUGGAGGCUCUCAGCCGAGUGACCUGCUCAAAACCUGGCAAUGCCACACAUUCCCUUAAGCGAGUGCUUCUGCCAUGACCAGAAGCAAUGGGGGCCCUGAGAAAAGACCACAAACGCCCUUCUACAGCACAAGGCAGGACUAAUAGUGUAUGGUCAGCAUCAACAGAACCGCAGGGCCUACUACAACAGGUAAUUAUCUGAUUCAUGGAGUUAAUUUCUCUUGGCUUGUCACUAUGACUUCCUACUGCACAGAAAGAGGAGAGAGAGUCAAAGAUAAACAUGUGCCUCUUACAAAAUGAAGAAUUCUAUAGGAGAAAGCCCAAAUACAAUUAAAAGAUAGCAGUAUGUAACAAUUAACCACGUCCAGCCUUUCCUCAUCAUUAGCAAAAUAUAGAUGGAAGACAGACCUAGCUCGCUCACAGCAGAAUAUAUUUGGCAUCACCUUUUAACUAUACACACAACAUAGCCUUCUAUUGAUCCCAUUGAUCUCUUUCACCUUAUAUAUCAGUUAUCAUUUUUUUGAAAGGAUAUUUUUCUGUUGCUUAAAUAACAGCUUGAUUGUUGGAGCCAAUUUCCACCACAACAAAACUGUUUACCUCACUGUAUGAGUGAGUGGGGCUGUUAGUCCUGAAGGCUUGUUGUGUAGAUGCUGGCUAGAGAAAAAAUGAUUUCAGGUUGAGUGGAGCCCGUUCUAACCUCCAAUAUGCAAAUCUUUACUUCCUUGUUGGUUCUCUAAAGGUGCAGAAAAGAAGAGAAAGCUUCCUCCCCCAACUCUGCUAUUGAAUUCACCGCUGAUUUUGAUUCCCAAUGAAGAUUUUUUUCUUUCCAAAUGUGUGGCAUAAAAUAAAAUCUUGUACUUCUGUGCACAUAAAAAAUCCAUAAUGCAGGGUAUUGGUAGAAUGCUUGGGAACCACAACCAGAAUGAGUUAGAUUAGGUAGGAAGAGACGGAAAGGGAGGGAAAGGAAAGGGAAGAGAAAGGUCAUUGUAAUUGAUUAACUCAAGUCUCUCUUGUUGUACUAAAGGAGGAAGGACUGAUGAGCAUAUUUGAAAGGACUCAAAGAGAAAGCUCCUUAUUUAUGGAAUCCACCACUGUAGCAGUCAGAGGGAGAGGUCAUGAAAAUAUUGCUCUUUCAAAAUCCAAUGGAACUGUAGCUGAGCCAUAAUAAGUACCGGUGCAGAUGGGCAUAUGCCUAACAUAAGCUCUCCUCUGUCCUCUGAUCUGAAAGAUAAGCACUAAAAGUGCUAAUGGAAGGUUAGGCUGGAAAUACCUCCUCUCACCCUCCUUUUCUCUAACUUGCUUGCUGAGUUUAUUCCGUGUUUUCAAAUUCCUACAGAUAAAAUUGAAGAACAAAAAUGCAGCUGGAGUUCAUGCAAGUGGCAAUUUGAAGAGUACCUUUAUUCUCAAACAGCUUGACUUCUCUUGUCGGGGAGAGUAUCUGUCAAACCACACGUUUCUCCUUCCUGAGCUCAAAUAACAGGUGGCUGAAAUCUGAAAAGGGCUGAUUUUCAAGAACGUGUUGUAUUUAGCAAGUUAUAUUUACAACCAAAUAGCAAUGCAAUCAUGUCUACUCGCUGCUCCUCUGGGACAGAAUUAAGAAAUAUCACCCAAAUGUGAACAGCAGAUCCGUGAUACAGGCAGGAGUGGGACUGGUCCUUCUCAAGUCACAACUCCACUGUUUAACUACAGGGCCAUAAAACUUCCUUUCCUAGUCUGCUAGCAAUGCCACGAUCCACUCAGACAAAGAAUGAUAUCAAGAAUAAGUCCAUCUGGCAUCAGCCACAGCCCAUAUGAGAUGAAGAUCAACAGCCUGGGAAGAGGAGUGAACUCAGUGCCUAGGGCUGGGCAGUGCUAGCACAAGCUGUCUUCCCCCUUUGCUGAGGGGGGCUGUCAGGUUUGGAUCAGCAGCAACACAAGGGCAGCCCCAGAAGUCAUUGCCUGUGUCAUAAACCAGAUGCCCCAGGGGAUUCUGAAUAACCCUACAGGCAAACAGAAUGGGCCAUCAUCCUCUUUUGUCAUGAAAAGGUAGGAGAUUCACUUCUGCAGCUUCAAGAGAAAUUGGGAAAGUAUGGCUACUUGAUUUUCAGCCCUGAUUUGUGCCUUCAAUUUGAUAAAGAUCCAUUCUUACACGCUUGAGUCAUUUUAGCUACUUUUUCUUGCUUUUUUUCCCCUGUACACUCAGACCUGAAAACUGGAACUCCAGCAUCCCAGGAGGGUACCACUGACGUAAUGUAGCAUGACAAUACAUAACUCCCAUUGGCUUCCUGCGUUGGUGCUCACAAGUGUUCUACGCAGAAAGUCUUUUCUUCAGAACUGUGUUGUGCUGAGGACUGAAUUAAUCUGUUAUUUAAUGUGGCUACUGAGCUUUAUGUUCCCCUGCAAAUUACCAUUACUUGAUAUUUCUUCUUGCUGUGAAUUUUUUUGUCGAGUUUGGACUUGGUGAUCCUUAUGGGUCCUUUCCAGUGUGGGUUAUUCUAUGAUUUUAUGAUUUCCAAACUGUAAAGAUUUAUACUUUCUCAUGUUGUUUGAUCGUUUGCUUUUAAUACAUCUCUUCAUCUGCUGAAUAAUGCAGGUAGAUUUUGGAUUUUCUCAUGACUUUGCCCCACCAAAGUAGCUAACUAGGGUGAAGUCCAUUAAUUGAUAUCACUGAGAACUCAGAACCUGUUUUCUGGCUCUGUCUUCUGAAAGGAAAAUCUGUGUUGUUUGUUUGAUUGCUCCUCAAGCUGCAUGUGCCUUCCCAGGCUUUGAAGCUAUGCCCAUCACUGCAGAACAUGAGAUGACUGAUAACGCCCUUCUCAUUCACAGAACAGACACUGUUCAGCAACAACAUGUUUUGGCCUAAAAAGUGGUGUUUGAGACCUGAUACGUAAUCUAUGAAUUCGUCCAAUCUGGUCAGUGCCCCUUGCUUUGGUGUUCUUAAGAUAUAGAUGCACAUCCACUCAGAAAAUCACUGCUGCCCCAGGCAGUGGCCAGGCCAUCUCUAUCAGCUCUUGGUCACUGGGAACGUUUCAAAGUUGCUCUGGAAACAGAAGGCUCUGAAACUACACAGUGUUAUUCCCAUGAACAAUGCACUGCCCUACAGUUUGCUCUGUUCACAGCCAGCUACUCUUCUAUUACUCUUUUUAUUUUAUUAUUUGCCCACAAAUUUUGUUAUACUUUCUUGUAAGCAGUAAAAAUUCAAGUUUUGUUGAAAUCAGCAAUAAAAAUUCUGAAGCAAAAAAUACCAAUAAAUCUAGUUAUUUAGCCAAUAAACAGAGGUAGGCUAAACUAGUAUGCUCUGAUCCCUGUGCAGCAGUGCCAAGCAGGUGGCCAUACACAAUUUAGCUCACUGACGAUUGCCUGCAGUGUGACCAACGCAUGGCAGUCCUUGGUGCAGACACAUCCAGGAGCAGCUGGCCGAGGGCAUUCACUGGGUAUUUUGGGGCAUUGUCCUGGCACCUGUUCUCCAAUGAAUUGUUCUUUAUCACUUUAAUAAACCGGGAUAUACAUUCUUACAUUUUGGCUUCUAAAAUUCCCGUGAAACCACUGAAAGCUGAGCAUGCGGUGGAAGACUGUAUGUAGGAAUGUUCAGCUUCUGUUGGACAUUCUUGAUGGGAAUCUCCUUCAGUGAACACUGAGAUGUAUGAACUACAAGCCUUUCACCGAUACCCUGAAGUUGCAGGCAAAAGCCACUGUCUUAAAAAAGAAAGGGAUUAGGCUAGCUGGAUGUUUUGGUUGGUAAAGGAGUUGAAAAACAUUAUUUAUUUCAGCAUGAACUCACCGGACCUCUGCCCCUGUUUUCACUGCAGAGAGACACAGGAUGGAUUCAUUUUGAUUCUGUUCUCAGGCGAUGGUAAGAGGAUCGUCUCUGUUGAAUAGCCCUGACUGUUGUGACACCAAGUGUCCUCCACUAGCACAGAGCCCUGUUUGUUCCCCCAGCCCCAGCGACACGCUGGGUCAGACUCCCUACAUUGGGGCUGCACGCAUUCGGCAGAUCUCUUCACCAUCAGUGGGGUUCAGGGGGGACGCAACGUGGCUGACACUGGGACUACAGACCCUGGGCAGCUGGGGAGCAAUGAUGGUGGGCCCAGCAGGGCAAUGCCCCCUCCUGCCAGUUUCCUUCUCUGAGCAACCUGUUCAUCGGGGUCCGUGUAGGUGUGCAAUGCUGUGUGACCGUGGAUUUUUGCACCCAACCUCUGUGCGCAUUGUUGACUGCAGUGGCACCACUGCUGCAGCACAUUUUCAAAGAGAACUGAAGAAAACAAAAAGCUACAUGUACUGGUAUUCCUCUUUAAUUUAAUAUCAUCUUACAAGGUGGAAAUUAAAAUGAUUUUUUCUGUCACCGUUAUCUCACUUCGCUUGGCGAUGAUCGAUUUCCUUCUCCCCUACUGCUUACUAAUAAGACAUCUGAACACUGAGAUGGUUUUUGUGUUUACUUCCUUGUUUAAAUCAGCUUCCCCAGCUAAGGACAGCCUUGGCACUACAUCUGCUCCGCAACUUGUGAUUUCUGCGUUGGCUCCACGCUGACAGAACGUCAGGCAUGGAGAGGUAUAUAUUUUUAAUUACUCGGGGAUGCCCCUGUGUAUACGUACAGGCAAAUUAACUAAGCACAGUCCAAAACCUGCUCCUAGCAGCGCUCACAUGUUACACACACACACACACAUUUCAGGCACCGAGCCUCACCUCUUGGGGCUGACGCAUGGAGAGAUGGUGGCAGGUGAGAACGACACCUUUCUACAAAUGGAACACUGAUGUCCAGGGAGAGGAAUAGACAAAAGUCAGCAUCGCUGAUGUCUGAAAGAAUCUGGUGCUUGCUUCCAGAAAUCAGCGAUCCUUCGCAGAGGUGGGGGUAUGGCAGUGAGCACGGCUGCUGCCUGGGGUCUGGGCACCGUGCUGUGAGCUCCUCGCACCCUGCUAGCACGGCAGCUCCAGCCCUGAUGGAGUUAUUGCGACAGACUAAAAAUGCUCAGUGAACAUCUCACAGUUUAAGGAGAAAAUACCAAAAGGGAAGGGAAGGAAACUUGGCCAUAUGCACAUCGCAGGCGAGGAACCAUGGAAAGAUGGGGCCGAGGCUCUGGAACUGAAUGCUGCUGGGGAGCUGAGUAAUAGGCUCUGCAGGGCACGCUCUCGGGAUGUCAUCCCACACCUUUUGGACGUUUUGCUGUCUGUGGCAUCUCCUUACCGAAUGUGUUUUGUGUCGCCCCAGCUGAAAUCUCUGUGUUCAGCAUUAGUCAGUUUUUAUCUCUGGGAUCUUCACACCCCAAGACCUACACAGUGCUGUCCUAUCUCCUUCCUCUCAAACUUCAUUGUCCUUCGCUUACCCUGUUUCUCUAAGCGGAAAUUUUGGUGUUUCCUUCUCCCUCUUGGCAAAGCUGCUCUUGCUCUUCUCAGGAAGACAACACCUUAAGGUUUCUUUCAGCCCUAUCCUAAACAGUUUCACGAUUUUCUUCACAACGAUCUCUGUAGCAACACCACCUCACCCACAGCUGGGCUGUACCGGGUCCCUUCCCACAUGCAGACCCCGUGGGGGGACCCCACACCACGGCCGGGUCCCGGCCCUGGGCAGAGGCACCCGCGGCACUGCAGGGACCGGGCCGGGAGG
ensembl:lncRNA